rnacentral:rRNA from 1 species
GCCUAUGGCUACACCACCCCGAGUGUGGCAAAUCCCACCUGAUCUAGGAAGCUAAGCAGGGUUAGGCCUGUUCGGUACGAGAAUGGGAGAGUGUGGUUCUGGUGUUUGAGUCU